UGUAAACUUCUUUUAUAAAAGAAUAAAGUCAGAUAUGCAUACCCGUUUGCAUGUACUUUAUGAAUAACGAUCGGCUAACUCCCUGCCAACAACCGCGGUAAUACGGAUGAUCCGAACGUUAUCCGGAUUUAUUGAGUUUAAACGGAUCGUAGAUGGAUGUUUAAAUCACUUGUGAUCGUUUGCGGCUCAGCCGUAAAAUUGCAGUUGAUACUGUAUAUCAUAAGUGCAUGUAAUGCAUGCUGAAUUCGUGAUGUAGCGGAGAAAUGCUAAGAUAUCACGAAGAACUCCGAUUGCCAAGGACGACUGCUAAGCUGCAACUGACAUUGAGGCUCGAAAGUGUGGGUAUCAAACAGGAGUAGAUACCGUGGUAGUCCACACGUUAAUGUAUGAAUACUAAGUGUUUGGGAUAUACAGCAAGCGGACAAGCGAAAGCGUUAAGUAUUUCAGUUGGGGAGUAUGCAGGUAACGGUAAAAGUCAAAGGAAUGGACGAGGGGCCGCACAAGUGGAGGAACAUGUGGUAUAAUUAGGUGCUACGCGAGGUACCUUCAUCGGGAUUAAAUUGUAGAAGAAGUAGGGUGUAAUCGGUAAGUCGCAAGGCAUCUGUGAAGGUGUGUCAUGAUUGUGGUUAGCUAGAGCCGGGAGGAGUUGGCGUAAGUACCAUAACGAGCGUAAUCAUUGUUGUCAGUUAAUAACAGGCUCUGUGGAGGGAUUUGACAAGAUAGCCAUGGUAAGAUGGGAGGAAGGUGGGGAUGAUGUCAAAUCAGCACGGCCCGGUACGUCAGGGGGUACACAAUUGUUACAAUGGGGGGUACAGAGGGCGGAUGCCAGGGGAGUGGAUAACAAUCCCCAAAACCUUUGUCAGUUAGUAUGGGAGUCGGCAACCCGAAUCCAGGAAGGUGGAUUAUCUAGUAUUAGAGCAUCAGGCAGGGUGCGGUGAAUAGUUUCCCGCGGCCUUGUACACCCCGCCAGUCAAGUCAGGGGAGCCGGGGGUACGUGAAGCGAGUAAACGGGAGGAGCGCCCUAGGGUAAAACUGGUGACUGGGGUU
rnacentral:rRNA from 1 species